GGAGAGGUGGCAGAGCGGUCGAAUGCGACGCCUUGCUAAGGCGUUGAGCGGAUUACAUCUGCUCCGGGGGUUCAAAUCCCUCUCCCUCCGCCA
rnacentral:tRNA from 1 species